rnacentral:rRNA from 1 species
AGCGAACGCUGGCGGCAGGCUUAACACAUGCAAGUCGAGCGGGCACUUCGGUGUCAGCGGCAGACGGGUGAGUAACACGUGGGAACGUACCCUUUGGUUCGGAAUAACGCUGGGAAACUAGCGCUAAUACCGGAUACGCCCUUUUGGGGAAAGGCUUGCUGCCGAAGGGUCGGCCCGCGUCUGAUUAGCUAGUUGGUGGGGUAAUGGCCUACCAAGGCGACGAUCAGUAGCUGGUCUGAGAGGAUGAUCAGCCACACUGGGACUGAGACACGGCCCAGACUCCUACGGGAGGCAGCAGUGGGGAAUAUUGGACAAUGGGCGCAAGCCUGAUCCAGCCAUGCCGCGUGAGUGAUGAAGGCCUUAGGGUUGUAAAGCUCUUUUGUCCGGGACGAUAAUGACGGUACCGGAAGAAUAAGCCCCGGCUAACUUCGUG